CGCGUGUCCGUGGUUGAAAGUCGAUGCCAGUCGCAGGCGAAACGAUCCACGUAAGCCGGGAAAAUUCCGGUGAGCAUGGUGCGGCUUAGAAGUAAGUCCUGCCGAUGUGACCGUCUGACGGUAUGUCGAGAGCGUUAGUAGUGGGGAGGCAAAGUCCUUAGGAGCGAAAGCGCCGGCAGGCGAGUGUGGGGUCAAAGACCAGGUCGGGCGCG
rnacentral:ncRNA from 1 species